rnacentral:misc_RNA from 1 species
UAAACUGCCCACACACUUGCUGAUAAAAAUAGAGUCAAAUUGAUAAUAAUUUCAUAAUCUGAUUAAGAAAAAGAAGACAAUUACAUAGCGGAUAAGAAAAUAAUAAACAACUUUCACUGAAAAUAGUUGUCAAACAAGAGCAUGCAGCAUAUUCCAGGCACUUCACCAGCAGUUCCUUGCAGGACCAGACCUAUGAUAUCUUUGAUUGAUGUGCUUAAAAAGCAA